rnacentral:rRNA from 1 species
GUGCCAGCAGCCGCGGUAAUACCGGCAGCCCGAGUGAUGGCCGAUCUUAUUGGGCCUAAAGCGUCCGUAGCUGGCUGCGCAAGUCCGUCGGGAAAUCCACUCGCCCAACAGGUGGGCGUCCGGCGGAAACUGUGUGGCUUGGAACCGGAAGGCUCAGAGGGUACGUCCGGGGUAGGAGUGAAAUCCCGUAAUCCCGGACGGACCACCGAUGGCGAAAGCAUCUCGAGAAAACGGAUCCGACAGUGAGGGACGAAAGCUAGGGUCUCGAACCGGAUUAGAAACCCGGGUAGUCC